rnacentral:lncRNA from 1 species
GAGAAAGGGAGAGGAGAACAUCUCCUGUUGGCCAUUGGGAGGGUCCGAAAUGGCCCGGCACCAGCAGCGAGCUGUGUGGCACCACAACUUUCACCCACCAACAAGGUGAGGGGAAUUUGCAUAACUAUGAUGUUCUUUUGAAACAUCAUGGAAAGGUUCAAGUCAUCAGAUCCAUUCAUGGCUCCUGAUGUCAUUCUUCUCCCCAAAUGGCCAUGCUGUUGGACUCCGACUCCAGACCUAAUUAACAGUCGGUGAUCAUAAUGUCCAACAAUAUAUGGAAGAAAUUACACUGGCUACCCCUGCAGGAUAAGUUCCCGGUUUGAGGGAGCCUUGGGUAAAAUCCUCUGCACGCUUACUGAGGCAGAUGGGAGUUGAAGUCCAGCAACAUCUAAAGCGUCCCCCACCCCUGGAGUAGAGAUACCUCUGGGUGUGAUUACCGUGGAUAGAUCAGGGUCUCAAUUCUGAUUUAGCAUAAUGCAACUCAUUAUGUCAGGGGUGGGAAACCAGCAGCCCUCCAGAUGUUGUGUUAUUCCAACUCCCAUCAACUCCAACCAACAUGGCCAAGGGAGGUGGAGUCCAGCCACACCUGAAGGUCCACAGCAUCCUCCAUCCCUGACCUACAUAGACCUUAGGAGUUCUAUUUUGGUCCUCCAGGACCUACUUAUAUGUAUGAAUGACUGGCCAUGAUAGAAAUAGUUUAUUGCAUUCUGCACCAUUUGGUUAGCUUGCUGGAAGCUAAUUGCUUUUACUGUGGCUUGGUUUCAGAGCGUUGCUAAUAACUGUAGCACAGUCUCCACUUGUAAAGAAGUGACUGAGUUAGCAAUGCUACAAAUGCCCAGCCUACCAUUCCUGGACAUCUGAUGGAUCUACAUUAACAGACUCAGGUGCUAUAGAUUUAGUGUUAGCUAUGCAAUUCAGGUUAGGUGCCCUGUGAGCCACCGUGCUCUACUAUAUUUGACUGUGCAUAUAGGCCACAUUUUCACAAGCACUGAAUCACACUCCUUUCCAGUAAUGGAUGCAUAGAAAGCCUGGAAACCAAUUCCAUUGCUUAGUUUCAAAGGAUGGUUCCAAGACCUAUAAUUAAAACUCCACAUGAAAAGUCCUGUAUAAAAGUGCCCGGAACCCAGAAGAUUGUUCAGUGCCUCUAAUAACGUCUGUCUGCAGCUACAGUUGAGAGCACCGGGUAAGUUUUAUUUUGCUCAUUCUCUUCUCAAAGCUCUUAUUGGGAGUUGACAAAAAAGGUUGCUCCAUCACAGGGGUCGGGAAAUCUGAGGGCCACAUUCAUUCCUGGAUAGUAUUCUGAGGGCCACAUGCCAGUGGUUGGUAGAACCACAGGCAAAAUUUGUUGAAGCAACAAAUGCAAACUUUACCUUCUGCGCAGUAGGCUAGUUUCUACACAGUCUCAUAAGCCCAUCUCUGUUCUCCAUCCAGGCUAACAAGGGCUCAAAGACUAUGUCUUAGCCAGGAAGAAAUGCUCAAGGAGGGUGUGAUGCACAGCUGAUUAAGGAGCAUGGAGGAGUAGUCCAUAAUGUUCUUGGAUUGCAAUCAACCCCACUCAAUGUGGCCUGUGGUCAGUGAUGAUGGGAGUUGUAGUUUCAUAAUGUCAUUGGAUUCCAUCACCCAGCAGCUUCAGCCAGCAUAGCUAGUGUUCAGGGAUGAUGGGACCUGUAGUCCAACAACAUCUGGAGGGCCACAGAUGUCCCUCGUCCUUGUUUUGCAACAUGGGUUCUGUGAAUCUCUACUUUCAUUCCCCCUCCCCGAGAAUUUCCAAAAGUAGACAAUACGGCUUUGAUUAUUUCAUUUCAUCCCUCCCUCCCUCUUUCCUUCCCUCUUGUGUUCAGUAGGAUCCUGAAAGUCCCACAAGAUGACAUGCUGCAUUUCUCCAGGAGUUUCCAGAGAUGGUGGAUUUUAUGGGAGCAACAGUGAAGUGCUUGUUGACAUUGCUCCUGAGAGCAGAGUGCGGGUCCAACCGGGACACUGUGCCCUCACACUCCCUCCAGCCCAAGUCAGCACCACCAAUGAACCCUUCAGAAUAUCUUGCCACUAUGUAAGUUAUACCAAAAAGGCAGAGAUGAAGUGUGUGUGUGUGUGUGUGUGUGUGUGUGUGUGUGUGAGAGAGAGAGAGAGAGAGAGAGAGAGAGAGAGAGAAAGCAGACUGAGCAACUGAGCAACUGCAACUUGAUUGACCACCAUCUACAAUGUCCACCAUUUGUGGCUACUGUGGCCUAGUGUCAGGGCUGGAAUCGGACACAGGUCAGCCCUAAAGGAAGCACGUCUCCUUGUCAGUGAAGUUAAUGCUUUAAUCGAGGAAACAAACAUGCAACUCAGCCUAGUGGUCUCAGCAACACUUCCCAGUAGGUCUUGCACCUAUGGAGCAGUUGCCAGGACUGAAGGUCCCUGCCUUACAUACUUCUCUAAGGCGCCUCCACUCCCGAAUGUUUCCCAAGCAGUCUUAAACUGCACUUGCACACCUCUGACCUCUGUUCUGCUCUUCUCAUUACCCUGUGAAUUCUUGAAGACCAGGGGGGAGGCAAGCUUGUUGCAGCAGGAGAGGGAGACUUCCAGGAUUUUUGAGCAGUCCUUAGACCUCCUCUUUUGCUUCAGUCUUGGAGUAUGAACUGCUCCCUGUCACAAACUCUUUCUGCUCACUAAACCCUUUGGCAUCCAACACCUCCUCCCAAUCUUCUCCCUCUGACCUCUCCUUGUUCUCCCACCACCAAUUCCUUGGCUCUGAGCCUUCUUCAUCCUCUUCGUCCAGCCAGUCCAUGCCAUCUAGUUCGAACAGAGGUGGUAAACAUGUGUCUUAAAUAAAUACCAACCAGCCAGGGAGCCACAUCACCACAAUGGUGGUGUUAAAAAUGUCCAGUUAGUAGACAGAAGAAGCUCCUAAAGUUCUAAAAAGAGCCUGCUGGAUUAGGCUAGUGACCCAUUUAUUCCAGCAUCCUGCUCUCGCAGUGGCUGCCCAGAUGCCCCAAUGGGAAACCCAGAAGCAGGAUCAAACACAAGAGUCCUCUCCAUUCCUGUGCUUUCCAGCAACUGGUCUUCUGAGGCAGGACUGCCUCCAACUGUGGAGACAGGGCAUAGCCAUCAUGACUAGCUUAGACUGCAAAUCGGCUCAUUCCUGAGAUCAUCCCUGGCUAUUUACUCCCCACCCCAAGUCAAUAACAAACAGGUGAUCAGGAAGUACUGUCAACAGUUAAUUGCACAGCUCCAGAGUGCCUUGUGGAUACUUUCAGACAUGCCUGAGUUCCGUUGUGGGGAAGGCACUUGUGAAAGUGCACCUUGCAUUCCUGAAGGUGGCUCACGGUGAGCUAGACAGCUGAUAGCUCAGUGCUAGAGGUCAAACUUCAACAACAUCUCCAGGUAGGGCUGUGAAUGUCCCUUGCCUGGAACCCUGUACAGUCAUACCUCAUGUUACGUUUGCUUCAGGUUGCGUGUUUUCAGGUUGCGUCCUGCGGCGACCCGAAAGUAACAGAAUGGGUUACUUCUGGGUUUUGCCGCUCGUGCAUGCGCAGACGUGCAAAAUGGCAUCAUGCGCAGAAAUGGCGAAUUGCGACCCGCGCAUGCGCAGAUGCACAGACACAGGUUGCAUUCUGUUCAGGUUGCGAAUGGGCCUCCGGAACGGAUCACGUUCGCAACCAGAGGUACCACUGUAGUCUAAACUGAUAGUGCAGAGCUAAAUGGACCAAUGAUAUAACUCAGCAUAACGCACUUUCCUAAGCUUCUGUUUAGGCAUGAAUAUUCCAACUCUACAGUUCUAUGAUUUUAUGUGUGGUACUUUUUAUUUAUUUAUUUAAAUGAACCUGGAUGCAAAGUAACUCCUGCACAAAGUUAAUGGCAAAUAAUCCAGAAUCCAACCAGAAUUCUGACUGAUGUGGUGAGUUGAGAGACUGACUUGUCCUGCACUUCCCUUGUUAUAGAAGGAAGCCAGCUGCAACAUGCUUCCCGCUAUGAAGUCUUGCUGCUCUCCAAACAACUGGACAUGUCCCUCUCGUACUGGAUCCUGCAGAGGAUGGACUGGUUCAUCAAGUCUUGGAACGCGAGUAGGAAUACAGCCACAAAGCUGUGAAGUGGUUUUCCCAGGGGGAUAUCUGUGUAGCAAUGUUCAUAAUGGAAAAGUCUCCUGUUGCCAGGCCUGCAAACCAUGCUAGUCCCCAAUGCAGUCUACGAAACACAUAAUAAAUGGG